UAAACAUCCACAUCUCUACCACGAUGCAUGAAGAGUACAUAUGGCAUCUCUAUCUGCCCUGCUAGACUGUAUUUUCUGUGGGCAGAGGCUGUAUCCUAUUUACCUACCUCCCUGGAAUUUGGCACAAAUCCCAGCACAGAGUUGAGGCCUGUGUAAGUUAAGAGUAAGACGCCUGAGUAAGACCAGUAGCUGUGGAUUGGUGAGAAUGGGUCAAUUCCUAGAUGUAUUUUGAAGGUGAACCCACAAGGAUUUCCCAAUGGGUUGAGUAUGGAGUAGGUAAGCAAGAAUGGAGUAAAGAAUGAGUCAAGGUCUUUGGCUUAGGAAACUGGAGGGUCAAGUUGCAACCAUCUAAGGUGGAGAAGGCUGGAGGCAGGACAGGCUUCAGAGAAAAGAUCAGGGGUUCACAUUCGAGCACGCUGAUGGCAAGUGUCUGAGAGACAUCCACGUGGAGAUGCUGAGUGGCAGUUAGCUUCCAAGUCUGAAAUGUGAGAGAGAGGUUUGGGCUCAAGAGAUAAAUUUGGGAGUCAUCUGCAUAAAGAUAAUAUGAAAAGCCUUGAAACUGGGUGUUAUCACCCAGGGAAGGGAGCACGAAGAGGUCCAAGGUCUGCAACAAUGAGGACCUGGAGAGAAGAGGGGACACCAACACAUAGGACUGAUACAGAACAAGAAAGGAGAAGAGAAAAACCCCAAGAAAAAGGGGCAAGUUCUGGAGGCCGAGCAAAGAAAGCAUAUCAAGGAGGAGGGUGUCCAACAGUGUCAAGUGCUGUGGAUAAGCAGAGUAAGAUGAGGGGUGAAAGCUACCUGUAGGGUUUUACAUGUGGAGGUCCUCAGUGACCAUGAUGGGACCUCAGAGGCGUGGUGGUGGCAAAAGCCUCAGUGGAAUGAGUGUAAAAGAGAAUAGGAGAAAGAGGCAUUGGAGACUCUAGUGUAGACACUCACUACGGAGCCUUGUAAGAAGAACAUGGUAGCUGGCGGGGUCAGUGGGGUCAAGACAAGCCAUUUGUUUGAGAUGGGAGUGACCCGGCAUGUCUGGGUGCUGACCCAGCGCACUGAAAAUGCGCAGAGCAGUGGGGCAUGAUGGCGCACACCUGGAAUCCCAGCGUCUGGGGAGGCUGAAGCAGGAGGAUCAUAAGGUCAAGACUUGACAUGUGAUACCUAGCGAACACUUAGCAAAUAUUUAUCAAAUAAACCAAUGACUAUGCAUAACAUUUGGGGUCUCAGUUGCAUCUGUUAAAUGAAAGUAACAGCAUCUGUCUCAGAGGAUUAAAU
rnacentral:lncRNA from 1 species